GCCGAUGUAGCUCAGUUGGUAGAGCAACGCUUUCGUAAAGCGUGGGUCGGAGGUUCGAUUCCUCUCAUCGGCU
rnacentral:tRNA from 1 species